rnacentral:rRNA from 1 species
CCUACGGGGGGCAGCAGUGAGGAAUAUUGGUCAAUGGACGAGAGUCUGAACCAGCCAAGUAGCGUGAAGGAUGACUGCCCUAUGGGUUGUAAACUUCUUUUAUAUGGGAAUAAAAUGUUCCACGUGUGGGAUUUUGUAUGUACCAUAUGAAUAAGGAUCGGCUAACUCCGUGCCAGCAGCCGCGGUAAUACGGAGGAUCCGAGCGUUAUCCGGAUUUAUUGGGUUUAAAGGGAGCGUAGGUGGAUUGUUAAGUCAGUUGUGAAAGUUUGCGGCUCAACCGUAAAAUUGCGGUUGAAACUGGCAGUCUUGAGUAGAGUAGAGGUGUGCGGAUUUCGUGGUGUAGCGGUGAAAUGCUUAGAUAUCACGAAGAACUCCGAUUGCGAAGGCAGUUCACUGGACUGCAACUGACACUGAGGCUCGAAAGUGUGGGUAUCAAACAGGAUUAGAUACCCGGGUAGUC